AACGCAAGUGGCGCUCUGCGACGAGCGGAGCAUGCUUGGCUGAGGGUUGUUUUGAUUGGUGGCGGUAUUCGGUUGGAUUCCGCCGAAGGUGGCUUGGGGACGGAGCAGAACAGGGUAAAUUCGUUUGCCCUUGUUUGUACGAUGCUCCAACUUAGUGCAACCUCAGAUCAAGCAGGAGUACCCGCCGAACUUAA
rnacentral:misc_RNA from 1 species